rnacentral:rRNA from 1 species
AGAGUUUGAUCCUGGCUCAGGACGAACGCUGGCGGCGUGCUUAACACAUGCAAGUCGAACGAGAGCGUAGAGAAAGCUUGCUUUUUCUACAAUCUAGUGGCAAACGGGUGAGUAACGCGUAAACAACCUGCCCUACGGAUGGGGACAACAGCUGGAAACGGCUGCUAAUACCGAAUACGUUCCGAAAGUCGCAUGACUGUCGGAAGAAAGGAUGGCCUCUAUUUAUAAGCUAUCGCCGGAGGAGGGGUUUGCGUCUGAUUAGCUAGUUGGAGGGGUAACGGCCCACCAAGGCGACGAUCAGUAGCCGGUCUGAGAGGAUGAACGGCCACAUUGGAACUGAGACACGGUCCAGACUCCUACGGGAGGCAGCAGUGGGGAAUCUUCCGCAAUGGGCGAAAGCCUGACGGAGCAACGCCGCGUGAGUGAAGACGGCCUUCGGGUUGUAAAGCUCUGUUAUACGGGACGAAUAAUCUUGUGGUUAAUACCCAUAAGAAGUGACGGUACCGUAAGAGAAAGCCACGGCUAACUACGUGCCAGCAGCCGCGGUAAUACGUAGGUGGCAAGCGUUGUCCGGAAUUAUUGGGCGUAAAGGGCGCGCAGGCGGCUUCUUAAGUCUGUCUUAAAAGUGCGGGGCUUAACCCCGUGAUGGGAUGGAAACUGGGAAGCUCAGAGUAUCGGAGAGGAAAGCGGAAUUCCUAGUGUAGCGGUGAAAUGCGUAGAUAUUAGGAGGAACACCAGUGGCGAAAGCGGCUUUCUGGACGAAAACUGACGCUGAGGCGCGAAAGCCAGGGGAGCGAACGGGAUUAGAUACCCCGGUAGUCCUGGCCGUAAACGAUGGGUACUAG